rnacentral:rRNA from 1 species
GUGCCAGCCGCCGCGGUAAUACCGGCAGCCCGAGUGAUGGCCGAUCUUAUUGGGCCUAAAGCGUCCGUAGCUGGCUGCGCAAGUCCGUCGGGAAAUCCACUCGCCCAACGAGUGGGCGUCCGACGGAAACUGCUCGGCUUGGGACCGGAAGACCCGAGGGGUACGUCCGGGGUUGGAGUGAAAUCCCGUAAUCCCGAACGGACCACCGAUGGCGAAAGCAUCUCGAGAAAACGGAUCCGACAGUGAGGGACGAAAGCUAGGGUCUCGAACCGGAUUAGAUACCCCGGUAGUCC